rnacentral:rRNA from 1 species
GACGAGCGCUGGCGGCGCGCUUAACACAUGCAAGUCGAGCGAUGAAAUUUCGACAGAUCCCUUCGGGGUGAAGAUGAAAUGGAUUAGCGGCGGACGGGUGAGUAACACGUGAGUAACCUGCCUUUGACAUUGGGAUAGCCUCGGGAAACUGGGAUUAAUACCAAAUGACACUAACUGAUCACAUGAUCAAUUAGUCAAAGAAAUUCGGUCAAAGAUGGACUCGCGGCUGAUUAGCUAGUUGGUGAGGUAACGGCCCACCAAGGCGACGAUCAGUAGCCGGGCAGAGAGGGUGAUCGGCCACAUUGGAACUGAGACACGGUCCAAACUCCUACGGGAGGCAGCAGUGGGGAAUAUUGCACAAUGGGGGAAACCCUGAUGCAGCGACGCCGCGUGAGCGAAGAAGGCCUUCGGGUCGUAAAGCUCUUUUAUGAGGGAAGAUAAUGACGGUACCUCAAGAAAAAGCCCCGGCUAACUACGUG